rnacentral:RNase_MRP_RNA from 14 species
UUGGCGCAGAGAGUGCGAGUGGGAGACCGCAGGGCUCGUGCCAGACCUGAGUGGUGAUGCUUUUCGCGGAGCCUCGGUGGCGGGCGCGGGCCCUUCGCAGCAGCACAGACAUGCCGUGAGAGCUCAUGAUCGGAGUGCCAACAGAACGGGGCUCACUCUCC